CCCUUAGAUGUUCUGGGCCGCACGCGCGCUACACUGAUGCACUCAACGAGUCCAACCUUGACCGAGAGGUCCGGGUAAUCUUUGAAACUGCAUCGUGAUGGGGCUAGAUUAUUGCAAUUAUUAAUCUUCAACGAGGAAUGCCUAGUAAGCGUGAUUCAUCAAAUCGCGUUGAUUACGUCCCUGCCCUUUGUACACACCGCCCGUCGCUCCUACCGAUUGAGUGUGUUGGUGAGGAGUUUGGAUUGGCCUCGGAAGGUGGUUCGCCACCGUCCGUAGCUGAGAAGUUCUCCAAACCGCCCCACUUAGAGGAAGGAGAAGUCGUAACA
rnacentral:rRNA from 1 species